UACGUAGGCAGCAAGCGUUGUUCGGAAUUACUGGGCGUAAAGGGUGCGUAGGCGGGUCUUUAAGUCAGGGGUGAAAUCCUGGAGCUCAACUCCAGAACUGCCUUUGAUACUGAAGAUCUUGAGUUCGGGAGAGGUGAGUGGAACUGCGAGUGUAGAGGUGAAAUUCGUAGAUAUUCGCAAGAACACCAGUGGCGAAGGCGGCUCACUGGCCCGAUACUGACGCUGAGGCACGAAAGCGUGGGGAGCAAACAGG
rnacentral:rRNA from 1 species